rnacentral:rRNA from 1 species
UACGGGAGGGUGCGAGCGUUUGUCCGGAAUCACUGGGCGUAAAGGGCGCGUAGGCGGCUCGAUAAGGCUGUGGUGAAAGCCCGGGGCUCAACCCCCGGGUCGGCCGUGGCGACUGUCGGGGCUGGGAGCACUGUAGAGGCGGGGCGGAAUUCCGGGGUGUAGCGGUGGAAUGCGUAGAGAUCCGGAAGAACACCGGUGGCGAAGGCGGCCCGCUGGGCUGUUGCUGACGCUGAGGCGCGACAG